rnacentral:ncRNA from 1 species
AGUGCAGGACCUGGCACUUGGUCUUAUUAAGCCUCAUACAGUUAGGCAGGGCGAAGCCAGAGGAAACUCUGGUGGAGGUCUGUAGCGGUCCUGACGUGUAAAUCGGUCGUCCGACCCGUGUCUAGGGGCGAAAGACUAAUCGAACCAUCUAGUAGCUGGUUCCCUCUGAAGUUUCCCUUAGGAUAGCUGGCACUCGGCAAUGGGCAAUUUUACCCGGUAAAGUGAAUGAUUAGAGGUCUUGGGGCGAAACGAUCUCAACCUACCACUAACAAAUCCACAGGUUCUCCACAGUCUGAGAAUCUUUUCCCAAAACAGUCUUCAUUCAGCUUCUCCAAAGACCGCAUCAGCCACGGUUCAAAUCAAACAGUCAGGAAUUGCUUUUGCAGUACAACAAAGCAGUUGUACCUCAUGCUGCCUUGCGGCCGGAGGUACACUGACACAUUUCCAUCUGGAGCUGCUCCUGGCACUGUCAGGUUUGCAUAGUUCCCGUUAUUACGUGGUCCUGCAUUCGAGGUGGGCGGCUUUGCAUUACGUCAGCUGUACCAUACAGAGGAAUAAUUCUUACUUAUAAAAAAGGGCACUUAGGCAAAAAAAACACUUGUUGUUGUCGUCUCCCUUCCUUCAAGUAACUGAUACCGCUAUGCUGACAAAACUAAUAAUUCUUGCAAGUACGUAUGGGCAGAUUUAUCAGUACAGGACUGGCCAAGGCUGGUAUGUUGUUCUUUGUGGUGGUUCUGGGUUCCAACUCAAUGGCUCAGUAAACUUAAACUAAUGUUAAUUUAAAAAAAAGAGGAAUGGUAUAACAAAUUGAGUACUGAGUGCUUCAAUUAUUUGAAGCAUAUUUUACAGGAAAGGAGUGAGUGCCUUGAUGGGAAUUCUAAGAUGAAAAGCGUCCUGCUCAUGCAGUGCAACCUGCUGAGUACAGAU